UGGGGAAUUUUGCACAAUGGGGGAAACCCUGAUGCAGCGACGCCGCGUGAUUUAGAAGGCCUUCGGGUUGUAAACAUCUUUUGUAUGGGAAGAAAAUGACAGUACCAUACGAAUAAGGACCGGCUAAUUACGUGCCAGCAGCCGCGGUAAUACGUAAGGUCCGAGCGUUGUCCGGAAUCAUUGGGCGUAAAGAGCUCGUAGGCGGUUUGUCACGUCGUCUGUGAAAUCCUAGGGCUUAACCCUGGACGUGCAGGCGAUACGGGCUGACUUGAGUACUACAGGGGAGACUGGAAUUUCUGGUGUAGCGGUGGAAUGCACAGAUAUCAGGAAGAACACCGAUGGCGAAGGCAGGUCUCUGGGUAGUAACUGACGCUGAGGAGCGAAAGCAUGGGUAGCGAACACG
rnacentral:rRNA from 1 species